rnacentral:rRNA from 1 species
UACGGGGGGAGCAAGCGUUGUUCGGAUUUACUGGGCGUAAAGGGCGCGUAGGCGGCGUGACAAGUCACUUGUGAAAUCUCCGGGCUUAACUCGGAACGGUCAAGUGAUACUGUCGUGCUAGAGUACAGAAGGGGCAACUGGAAUUCUCGGUGUAGCGGUGAAAUGCGCAGAUAUCAGGAGGAACACCUAUUGCGAAGGCAGCUCGCUGGGACGUAACUGACGCUGAGACGCGAAAGCGUGGGGAGCAAACAGG